rnacentral:rRNA from 1 species
CCGGCAGCCCGAGUGGUGAUCACUAUUAUUGGGUCUAAAGGGUCCGUAGCCGGUUUAAUCAGUCUUCUGGGAAAUCUAAUCGCUUAACUAUUAGGCUUCCAGGGGAUACUGUUAGACUUGGGACCGGGAGAGGUAAGAGGUACUGCAGGGGUAGGAGUGAAAUCUUGUAAUCCCUGUGAGACCACCAGUGGCGAAGGCGUCUUACCAGAACGGGUCCGACGGUGAGGGACGAAAGCUGGGGGCACGAACCGGAUUAGAUACCCGGGUAGUCCCAGCUGUAAACGAUGCUCGUUAGGUGUCAGGAACGGUGCGACUGUUUCUGGUGCCGAAGGGAAGCCGUGAAACGAGCCACCUGGGAAGUACGGCCGCAAGGCUGAAACUUAAAGGAAUUGGCGGGGGAGCACUACAACGGGUGGAGCCUGCGGUUUAAUUGGACUCAACGCCGGAAAACUCACCGGGGGCGACAGCAAUAUGUAGGUCAGGUUAAAGGUCUUACCUGAAUCGCUGAGAGGAGGUGCAUGGCCGUCGUCAGUUCGUACUGUGAAGCAUCCUGUUAAGUCAGGCAACGAGCAAGACCCGUGCCCACUGUUACCAGCAUAUCCUUUAUGGAUGAUGGGGACUCUGUGGGGACCGCUGCUGCUAAAGCAGAGGAAGGUGCGGGCUACGGUAGGUCAGUAUGCCCCGAAUCUCCCGGGCUACACGCGGGCUACAAUGGUUGGGACAAUGGGUAUCUACUCCGAAAGGAGUUGGCAAUCUCUUAAACCCAAUCGUAGUUCGAAUUGAGGGCUGUAACUCGCCCUCAUGAAGCUGGAAUCCGUAGUAAUCGCGUUUCAACAUAGCGCGGUG